GUUUCGAAAGGAACGCUAAUACCGCAUACGUCCUACGGGAGAAAGCAGGGGACCUUCGGGCCUUGCGCUAUCAGAUGAGCCUAGGUCGGAUUAGCUAGUUGGUGAGGUAAUGGCUCACCAAGGCGACGAUCCGUAACUGGUCUGAGAGGAUGAUCAGUCACACUGGAACUGAGACACGGUCCAGACUCCUACGGGAGGCAGCAGUGGGGAAUAUUGGACAAUGGGCGAAAGCCUGAUCCAGCCAUGCCGCGUGUGUGAAGAAGGUCUUCGGAUUGUAAAGCACUUUAAGUUGGGAGGAAGGGUUGUAGAUUAAUACUCUGCAAUUUUGACGUUACCGACAGAAUAAGCACCGGCUAACUCUGUGCCAGCAGCCGCGGUAAUACAGAGGGUGCAAGCGUUAAUCGGAAUUACUGGGCGUAAAGCGCGCGUAGGUGGUUUGUUAAGUUGGAUGUGAAAUCCCCGGGCUCAACCUGGGAACUGCAUCCAAAACUGGCAAGCUAGAGUAUGGUAGAGGGUGGUGGAAUU
rnacentral:rRNA from 1 species